UCCAGUUUCAAUGAACAUAAAGUAUGUGGUUAGAUUGUAAUCCAAUUAAACUAGUACUUUUGCAUAUAGGGUUACAGAGUGCUUUUGGUGAAUGGAAAUAGUUAUCACUUUACAGAACAUGGUCUUGACUACCUACUACAUGGUUUUCUGAUUUCUCAAAAACAUCUGCUACAAAAAAAAAAACUGUCCUGUAAAUAUGAUGAAAAUCCAUACAGUUUGUCUGAAUUAAUUAGUAAAACUAUUGAUUCCAUUUGAGAUUUUUUUUUCCAUGUGCUUGUGGAUGAAUUUGCUGGUGAUUUUUGAUGUUUUAUUGAAUACAUGUUGAUGCAGAUGAGACGAGAGUGCAGAUUGAAAGGGCACAAUUAUGCCUUUUUAGGUGUUGCAGAAUGAUUUAGACAUCUUGCGGUCGUAGGUUGGUUUGUAGGUUGGCUUAACUGAUAGUGAUCCUUAAACUUUGCAGUUUCAACCUAACAAUGAAAAGUUUCUCAAAGAUCCUAUAUGUGUUAAUUACCAAGUAUCCUCCAACUGCAUCUA